rnacentral:lncRNA from 1 species
CACAUUUCAAUGUACAGAGAAUGCUUCCGCUUAUUUUUCUGGGAGUGGUGAUGGGUGUCAUUUUUACAAGGUCGAGGAAUUUAAUGCCAUCUAUGCUUUUGCAUAGCCUUUGGAAUGGUUUUGUGUUCUUAGAUUUAAUGAGAUGACUUGUUAGCCUUGCGCAGCACAUACAACAGAUCAUGAAUCAGCUGAUCAUCUCUCAAAAGUGUAUAUUUGUGGCUUUGAAGGAUAUUUUUUAUCAUAAGGCCUCUGAAGGCCUGCUCCAUUGGCAACUUUGAUUUACACUCAUCCUCAGAAUGCUUUGUAGGUCCAACAAACAGAGAUAAAGUAGUAUUGACAGAAAUUAAUAGGCCAUUCUAUAAUUUCUUCAUUUAUGGAAUUAGUCUAGUACAUCUUUCAUAUGUGUAAUUAUACUAGAAACAAAGGGGUAAAGCUAUCCCUUUGGCCUGCAGAGAUCUUGCUUAACGUUGUAAAACUCUCAAUCCAGUAAAUUAGCACUCUUUUUUUCUUGUAAUUUAUUUGUCUCCUUUCUUUUUUUUUUGAGGUCAGAAGGCCAAGAUGGGGAGAGGGGGAAGGGGAAGAGGAAGGAUAAUAAGAACUGGAGUUUUUUCCUGAUCUGGCCAUUUUAUCACUAUCCUCAAUAGUUGGUUCGUUGCUUGUGUAUCAAGAACAAUAUUAUGUUGCAACUUGAAUUUUUGUGCAGGACAAUUACUGAUUAAAUAGUUAUCACUGAGCACCGUAAAAAAAUGUUAUUAAAAAAGACCGAUAUUCGUUGGCUGUCCACGGUGGAAGCCAACACUAUGUCCAGAUUCAAGGGAAGGCUUUUUUAUUUUUUUUCUUUAUACAUUUAGGUUUUUAUGUCCAGUGAGAAAAAUUGAACACUUUAACCCAUCCAAUGGUUGAUAGCAAAGUCUAUGCUAACGAUUUGAUCGAUAUGAUAAUCUCGAUUAUAGAAUGGGAUGUCAUGGUGCAAAAUUCCAACAAAAUGUGAAUUAAGAUGCACUGUUCCUGCUUGUUACUAGUGUUACCUUUCAGCAUGUUGCUAGGAAUUAUUGGUUUUUACACUGUAAUGGUUAUGUAAAUUCAAACUUGUUGAUUAAUAGUUGACUUUGCUGAUUGUGUUGAUGACCUUUGUGCCACAUGAUCUUUUGUUUUAUAAAUUUUCCUUGUUAAGUUGGCAUCUGCUUUGAAGGUGGCUUUGAAGCCAUCAUAGUUUUAGCUUGUCUUCAAUAUUUGUGAAUGAAUUCCUCAUUUUGUUAACUGGACUUGCAUGCUGAACUUGAAGACAAAUAUGUAGAAUGGACCAUUGGGAUGUUAUCCAAACAUUUCUAUUUUAGACCAAUUAUCUAAAUCUUUCAGUUUUGAAGAAAUUUUAGCCAAAAUUGAAUAUUAAUUUGAUUGACAGCAUCACACUUGGGACUUGUUUAUGAAUGCUUAACAAAACACCUUUGGAUCUUAUUUCACAAAGUGCUCAUGAGAAAAAUCAAUUUUUCCCCUGAAUUAAAUUUCAAUUUUGGCUUAGAUUUCUUUGGAAUUGAAUGAUUUGGAUGAUGGGUGGAAAAUUGAAACUUUUGGAUAAAAUUAACAAAGUGGUGCAAGCAUUUGAACUUUUUGGUCCAAAAGGCCUUGAGACGAUUAGUUGACCUAAAUUAUUUAGGGAGGAGAUUUAGCUUCAAUGAAGGACUACAUUUUGAAUGGACAUCUUUUCCAUCAUCAAUGCUUCAAUUCUCCAUGACAUCAAUGGAAAAGUAAAGCAUUCUAAUCUUCAUAAUAUCUAUUUCCAAUGUCAGCCGAAAACAUUUUGUGUUUCACCUCAUUUCUGAUGGCAGAAACAUAAUAGUAAUUAUAAGAAAAUGGUUUGGGUUAUUGCCCAAUGGUAGUUAUACAUAUAUUUUCUUAGUAAUUUGGACAUCUCAUUAGUUAGUUUUUUAUGUUUCAGGCUGCAGAUUUUGUGUAUAGGGCAAUUGGGAGCAGAUGGACUGUGCCCUAGACAGCAGAGACCAUAUUGCAGGUGAGACUUUUCCUUGUGGUUGCUACAUUCCUGGACAUCUAGGGAAUAAGAACUAUAUAAUAAGCUUUAUAGCCGUUACUUACAAGGAUGAGGUGAAAAGGUAGUCAUUUUUUAAGAAACUAUUAGAAGCUACACCAGAGCAUGAGAAUGGUUAUUGCUGCAGAACUUGUCCUGGUAUCUAUUACUGAUAUAUGUAUUCUCGCGGAUAUCUUUCUUUCAGAUUAUUAUUAUUCUUUUGGCUUUAUUGAUAGUUUUCAAUUGAUCAUGCAAUCUUAACUAAAAUUCUUUUUGAUGGAAUUGAAAUGACUUGGUGAAGUUACACAAAUGAGUUUCUGCGGAAACCAAGAUUUCCUCUUUCUUGUAGGCUAGUGGAUUUUAACAUCUUGCUCUAUAAAUUAAACUAUUGUAUUUAAUAAUUGAAUACAAGGCCAGCAACUGAACUUCAUAUUGUCAUGCAGGUUAUGCUUCUGUGGGUUGUUUCAUUCUGGUUUAUAGGAUCUUGGGUGAUUCCUUUUGCAGCCCACAUGGCAGGUUUCAACAAGGAAUCCCUGACAUUUAGAGGACAAGCCUUGUUCAGCCUUGUGACUGAUGUAACUGAAGGCCUUGCUGGAAUUGCUAUUCUUCAUCGCUAUUUGUCUAGAUUUUGUCCCCUUCCAUCUGAUUGGUUUAGGUUUAGCCUGAAAGGUAACUGGCUAUUGGACGUUGCUCUUGGAUGUUUCAUGUUUCCCUUGGUCAACCGCCUCUCUCAGUUCAAUCUUAGCUUAUUGCCCAUUCCACCUUCUACACCUGUUACUCUCUCAAGCGUUGAGCAGUCAAUUGCAGCAAGAGAUCCAGUGGCUAUGACUUUGUAUGCGAUAGUAGUUUCAGUGUGUGCCCCUGUGCGGGAGGAGAUUGUCUUUCGGGGUUUCCUCAUUCCUUCCUUAACAAGAUACAUGCCCGUGUGGUGUGCAAUCCUGGUUAGCUCAGUUGCCUUUGCUCUAGCACAUUUCAAUGUACAGAGAAUGCUUUCGCUUAUUUUUCUGGGAGUGGUGAUGGGUGUCAUUUUUACAAGGUCGAGGAAUUUAAUGCCAUCUAUGCUUUUACAUAGCUUUUGGAAUGGUUUUGUGUUCAUAGAUUUAAUGAGAUGACUUGUUAGCCUUGCGCAGCACAUACAACAGAUCAUGAAUUAGCUGAUCAUCUCUCAAAAAUGUAUAUUCGUGGCUUUGAAGGAUAUUUUUGAUCAUAAGGCCUCUGAAGGCCUGCUCCAUUGGCAACGUUGAUUUACACUCAUCCUCAAAAUGUUUUGUAGGUCCAACAAACAGAGAUAAAGUAGUAUUGACAGAAAUUGAUAGGCCAUUCUAUAAUUUCUUCAUUUAUGGAAUUAGUCCAGUACAUCUUUCAUAUGUGUAAUUAUACUAGAAACAAAGGGGUAAAGCUAUCCCUUUGGCCCGUAGAGAUCUUGCUUAACGUUGUAAAACUCUCAAUCCAGUAAAUUAGCACUCUUUUUUUCUUGUAAUUUAUUUGUCUCCUUUCUUUUUUUUUUUUGACGUCAGAAGGCCCAGAUGGAGAGAGGGGGAAGGGGAAGAGGAAGGAUGAUAAGAAUUGGAGUUUUUUCCUGAUCUGGCCAUUUUAUCACUAUUCUCAAUAGUUGGUUCGUUGCUUGUGUAUCAAGAACAAGCAAUAUUAUGUUGCAACUUGAAUUUUUGUGCAGGACAAUUACUGAUGAAAUAGUUACCACUGAGCACCGUAAAAAAAUGUUACUAAAGAAGACCGAUAUUCGUUGGUUGUCCUCGGUGGAAGCCAACACUAUGUCCAGAUUCAAGAGAAGGCUUUUUUAUUUUUUUUUCUUUAUACAUUUAGGUUUUUUGGUCCAGUGAGAAAAAUUGAACACUUUAACCCAUCCAAUGGUUGAUAGCAAAGCCUAUGCUAACGAUUUGGUCGAUAUGAUAAUCUCGAUUAUAGAAUGGGACGUCAUGGUGCAAAAUUCCAACAAAAUGUGAAUUCAGAUGCACUGUUCUUGCUUGUUACUAGUGUUACCUUUCAGCAUGUUGCUAGAAAUUAUUGGUUUUUACACUGUGAUGGUUAAGUAAAUUCAAACUUCUUGAUUAAUAGUUGACUUUGCUGAUUGUGUUGAUGACCUUUGUGCCACAUGAUCUUUUGUUUUAUAAAUUUUCCUUGUUCAGUUGGCAUCUGCUUUGAAGGUGGCUUUGAAGCCAUCAUAGUUUUAGCUUGUGUUCAAUAUUUGUGAAUGAAUUCCUCAUUUUGUUAACUGGACUUGCAUGCGGAACGUGAAGACAAAUAUGUUGAAUGGACCAUUAGGAUGUUAUCCAAACAUUUCAAUUUUGGACCAAUUAUCUAAGUCUUUCUGUUUUGAAGAAAUUUUAGCCAAAAUUAAAUAUUAAUUUGAUUGACAGCAUCACACUUGGGACUUGUUUAUGAAUGCUUAACAAAACACCUUUGGAUCUUCUUUCACAAAGUGCUCAUGAGAAAAAUCAAUUUUUCCCCUGAAUUAAAUUUCAAUUUUGGCUUAGAUUUCUUUGGAAUUGAAUGAUUUGGAUGAUGGGUGCAAAAUUGAAACAUUUGGAUAAAAUUAACAAAUUGGUGCAAGCAUUUGAACUUUUUGGUCCAAAAGGCCUUGAGACGAUUAGUUGACUUGAAUUAUUUAGGGAGGAUCUUAUUUCACAAAGUGCUCAUGAGAAAAAUCAAUUUUUCCCCUGAAUUAAAUUUCAAUUUUGGCUUAGAUUUCUUUGGAAUUGAAUGAUUUGGAUGAUGGGUGCAAAAUUGAAACAUUUGGAUAAAAUUAACAAAUUGGUGCAAGCAUUCGAACUUUUUGGUCCAAAAGACCUUGAGACGAUUAGUUGACCUGAAUUAUUUAGGGAGGAGAUUUAGCUUCAAUGAAGGACUACAUUUUGAAUGGACAUCUGUUCUAUCAUCAAUGCUUCAAUUCUCCAUGACAUCAAUGGAAAAGUAAAGCAUUCUAAUAUCCAUAACAUCUGUUUCCAAUGUCAGCAGAAAACAUUUUGUGUUUCACAUCAUUUCCGAUGACAGAAACAUAAUAGUAAUUAUAAGAGAAUGAUUUGGGCUAUUGCCCAAUGGUAGUUAUACAUAUAUUUUCUUAGUAAUUUGGACAUCUCAUUAGUUAGUUUUUUUAUGUUUCAGGCUACAGAUUUUGUGUAUAGGGCAAUUGGGAGCAGAUAAACUGUGCCCUGGACAGCAGGGACCAUAUUUCAGGUGAGACUUUUCCUUGUGGUUGCUACAUUUCUGGACAUCUAGGGAAUAAGAACUAUAUAAUAAGCUUUUAUAGCCAUUACUUACAAGGAUGAGGUGAAAAGGUAGUCAUUUUUUAAGAAACUAUUAGAAGCUACACCAGAGCAUGAGAAUGGUUAUUGCUGCAGAACUUGUUCUGGUAUCUAUUACUGAUAUAUGUAUUCUCGCGGAUAUCUUUCUUUCAGAUUAUUAUUAUUCUUUUGGCUUUAUUGAUAGUUUUCAAUUGAUCAUGCAAUCUUAACUAAAAUUCUUUUUGAUGGAAUUGAAAUGACUUGGUGAAGUUACACAAAUGAGUUUCUGUGGAAACCAAGAUUUCCUCUUUCUUGUAGGCUAGUGGAUUUUAACAUCUUGCUCUAUAAAUUAAACUAUUGUAUUUAAUAAUUGAAUACAAGGCCAGCAACUGAACUUCAUAUUGUCAUGCAGGUUAUGCUUCUGUGGGUUGUCUCAUUCUGGUUUAUAGGAUCUUGGGUGAUUCCUUUUGUAGCCCACAUGGCAGGUUUUAACAAGGAAUCCCUGACAUUUAGAGGACAAGCCUUGUUCAGCCUUGUGACUGAUGUAAUUGAAGGCCUUGCUGGAAUUGCUAUUCUCCAUCGUUGUUUGUCUCGAUUUUGUCCCCUUCCAUCUGAUUGGAUUAAGUUUAGCCUGAAAGGUAACUGGCUAUUGGACGUUGCUCUUGGAUGGUUAUGCUUCUGUGGGUUGUCUCAUUCUGGUUUAUAGGAUCUUGGGUGAUUCCUUUUGCAGCCCACAUGGCAGGUUUCAACAAGGAAUCCCUGACAUUUAGAGGACAAGCCUUGUUCAACCUUGUGACUGAUGUAACUGAAGGCCUUGCUGGAAUUGCUAUUCUCCAUCGUUGUUUGUCUCGAUUUUGUCCCCUUCCAUCUGAUUGGUUUAGGUUUAGCCUGAAAGGUAACUGGCUAUUGGACGUUGCUCUUGGAUGUUUCAUGUUUCCCUUGGUCAACCGCCUCUCUCAGUUCAAUCUUAGCUUAUUGCCCAUUCUACCUUCUACACCCGUUACUCUCUCAAGCCUUGAGUAGUCAAUUGCAGCAAGAGAUCCAGUGGCAAUGACUUUGUAUGCGAUAGUAGUUUCAGUGUGUGCCCCUGUGUGGGAGGAGAUUGUCUUUCGGGGUUUCCUCCUUCCUUCCUUAACAAGAUACAUGCCCGUGUGGUGUGCAAUCCUGGUUAGCUCAGUUGCCUUUGCUCUAGCAUAUUUCGAUGUACAGAGAAUGCUUCCGCUUAUUUUUCUGGGAGUGGUGAUGGGUGUCAUUUUUACAAGGUCGAGGAAUUUAAUGUCAUCUAUGCUUUUGCAUAGCCUUUGGAAUGGUUUUGUAUUCUUAGAUUUAAUGAGAUGACUUGUUAGCCUUGCGCAACACAUACAACAGAUCAUGAAUCAGCUGAUCAUCUCUCAAAAGUGUAUAUUCGUGGCUU